UGGGGAAUAUUGCACAAUGGGCGCAAGCCUGAUGCAGCCAUGCCGCGUGUGUGAAGAAGGCCUUCGGGUUGUAAAGCACUUUCAGCGAGGAGGAAGGGUAGUGUGUUAAUAGCACAUUGCAUUGACGUUACUCGCAGAAGAAGCACCGGCUAACUCCGUGCCAGCAGCCGCGGUAAUACGGAGGGUGCAAGCGUUAAUCGGAAUUACUGGGCGUAAAGCGCACGCAGGCGGUUUGUUAAGUCAGAUGUGAAAUCCCCGCGCUUAACGUGGACUGCAU
rnacentral:rRNA from 1 species